GCCCUACAAGACGGAGGGGCACCGCCAUGAGCCCGAGAUCUCCGAGCAGCUGCGCGGAGCCGGCGGGCGCGAGGUCCCGCUGACCUUCGUUCCGCACCUGCUGCCGCUCGAUCAGGGCGAGCUGGUCUCCUGCUACGUCCGGCCGGCGCGCGAGAUCAG
rnacentral:misc_RNA from 1 species